rnacentral:lncRNA from 1 species
CUAAUAUAAGAAAAAUCUCCACACCUUAGUGUAUAUACAAUAUCCCAAAACCCGGCGAAAUACAAGUCACAAGCUUUAUGACAAUAUCAAAGUCAUCCAUAUAUGACUAUAUCUAGCAAAGAAGGAAAAAUAUAGAAAUAGAUAGAAGGGGACUCUAAGGCCUUCGAACGCAGACAAGUGUACCUUGAUGUCUCCAAAUGCGAACUCAGUGCCUGAUAUAAUGUACCUGGAUCUGCACAAAAUGAUGUGCUAAAGUGUAGCAUGAGUACACCACAAUGGUACCCAGUAAGCGCCAAGCCUAACCUCAGUAGAGUAGUGACGAGGUCAGGCCAGGGUCAUACUGGAAAUAAAUAAGAAAAACCAUAACGGUGCAAUGAUAAUAAGAUGGAAUGAAACAAGUAAGGGAUAUGCCAAAAUUAACUACACAGAAUCAAGGCUAAUAAUGCAUCACGUAAGAAAUCAGGGAAAUGUUAAGGUAAGGAAACAAACAGCCAAACACAAAUGAAGUAACUGAAAAAUAACAAGAGUCACUACCGAGGUAUCACCUCGUAGCCUGAAAUCACAAAAGAAAUCCACACUCUUUCCUUACAUCGUCGCGGGAGCCUUUACAUUUAGUUUUGAAAAUUAUUUUUUUCUGAAAUAAUAUCCCGUGUUUUGGCCUACCUUAUUACACCGCAUGAAUUCUAGUAGUUCCCCUACUAGCCAUGCAUAACAAGUCCACCUUAUCUCACUGCAUGUGUUUCAACCCCCAAACCUUAUACCACUGCAUGUGUAUCAAUAUCACAACGUAUCACAGUUCGCACGUCAAGUGCCUAAUGUCAGAACAUUCCAGAGAAGCCAAACACUAACAGUAUGUUUCAUAGUAAAGAGUCUAUAGCUCCACCACAAUGUACACAAGAGUCUCAACAAUAACAACCGGAAUGAACAACUCAACAGAAUGGUAUUUCACAAUUUAACACUUUGCCUCAAUGCGAAUCACGGUCGUUAUAUCUCAAUACCAAUUUCAACAACAAGAUAUUUCAAGAAUAGCAACUUCAAGUAAGGGGUUCAACAUUGAAAUAAUGAAUAGAAUAAAGGAAACAAAAACAUCAAUUAAGCAUGUAGGCCAAUUAGCAAGUAAGAUAUAACACAAGUAGGCAUGUGAGAAUAGACUAGAAAUGAUGACUAUAACAUGUUAAGGUAACUCAAUUAAGGCAUGAAAGGAAAUCUACAUAGCUAAAAUCGGAAAUUUCCAAAUUUAUCCCAUGUACACACUCGCCACCUUGCAUAUACAGCUUUCACAUAUCACAAUUAUCAAACCAACACAAUUCCUAAGGGAUAAUUCCCCCAUACAAGGUUAGGCAAGUCACUUACCUCAAAUCACACUAGCUUAAUCGACUAGAGGGCAUUUCCCUCGAUUAUCCAACUCCCUAUGUCUCGAAUCUAGACAAAACAAUUUCAUACUAUAAAUAUAAACUAUAGAAAACUAAUUCGAACAAUAAAAUUAUGAUCUUUAACAAGAAAUAAAAAGUCAACUCAAGCCCGCAACUCGAAACCCGACUUAAAUUACAAAAUCGGAACACUCAUUUUAUAUUGAGUCCAACCGUACAAGAAGUACCUAAAUCCGACCUCAAACCGCCUUUCAAAACCCCAAAUUUAAGCCUAAAAUAUUUUAGCAAUUUUUCCCAAUUUUCCAACUCAAACCAUUAAUUACAUGAUAAAACAAUAAUAAAUUCAAGUAAUUUAACUAAAAUCAAGUUAGAAAUUAUUACCCCAAUAAUCCCUCUGAAAAUCCCCCAAAAAUUCGCCACACCGAGCUCUCUAAUUCCAAAAUGUAAAAUAUGAGAAGAACCCUCGAUUUUUGAUGUUUGGCUAUAAUUCCGUAUUUUUAGUGCAUUACUUACCUUAUAUUUAGGUUCUUUAAUUCUAAACUAUACUAUAUUUGUGCUUAAUUGAGUUUAUUUUAUGUGUAGGUACAUUGAAGAAGAAAUUGGGAGCAAAUUAGAGAUUUUAUGUGUAUUUUAUGCACUACAAGAAUGGCGCAUGAUUAAUUGAUGAUGGAAAAUAUUUUGAUGUCAUAUUUUGAUGAUUGAAGACAUAAUGAUGGAGUAAUAAUUAAUAUUUGAAAAACAAAGAAAAGAAAGAGAAAGUUAGGUAAAAGUGGCAUCAAUUGAAAUAAAGCAGCAGAGUAGGCUAGGCACAGUCUAUCGCGAGGCGAUACGUGUUCCGGAUUUUUAAAGCCUAUUUUGUCUCCUACUUGGUUUUGGACUUGGUUAUUUCAUCUAGGUAUUUUUUCUACACAUAUAAAUAGUCAUUAAACAUCAUUUUUAGGGAGACCUGAGAUUGGACGAAGGGAGAACACGGAGUUUCCGUGUAGGCCGUAAUUCAUCAUAUUCCAUCUUUUUUCCACCAACCUUAGUAAUUAUUACUUUUUUGAUGAUUUGUUAUUUUUCUACCAUAUUUAUGUGGACCUAAAAUUCAUGUUCUAGGGUUUUUGUUGUUAUGAAUAUUGAAGUUUAUUAAUUAUAUUACCGUUAAUUCGAGUUUUCAUCUUUGGUUGUUUGUCUAAUUCGGUGCAUAAUUGCUUAAUUGUUUGGCUAACAGUUGAGUUCUAUUUACUAUCUAUGUGAUGCUUGGGAAAGCUGUGUUUAUAUUAGAGUGGAAUUAGAGAGAGCUUUUCUAAACCUGUGGCUCGAAAAAAGAUUUCGCUGUUAGGAUAGGAAUAUAUCUAAUAGUCUCGCUUAAUUGAAUACCGUGUUAUAUUCGUUCAUGAUAGAUUCAAGACCAUAGAAAUAUAGGGUUCAUAUAUUAUGGAUAGACGGAUAGUUUUGUGGGUACAUGCUAUUUAUAAAAACGAUCCGCUCAACUGGCAAUCUUAGAUAAUUUGGAUUAACAAGUGUAAUUAGUGUCACACCUCCUUUUUCUACCCCGGAAAGGGGGUAUAAGGGAGUUUUUUUUCAAUUUUAAGUGACAAUCGAAACGGGAUUAUUUUUUAAGUUCAGAGUCGCCACUUGGGAUAAUUUAUGGUGUCCCAAGUCACCGGUUUAGAAUCCUGAAUCGAGGAAGGAUUGACUCUGUUUUACAGUCCACGAAACAUAAAAAUCCGAGUAAGAAAUUCUGUUAUCCUGGGAGAAGGUGUUAGGUAUUCCCGGGUUCCGUGAUUUUAGCACGGUUGCUCAACUAUCAUUAUUGGCCUAAUUAUCUGGUUAAUUACAUAUUUAAGCCUAUUGUGCAUUUUUAACUUUCCAACCGCUUUUAAUGUUUUUAGGAAAAUUCAUGAUUGUCAUACACUUAUUUGUUUUUGAAAAUAAAUUGUAAACCACACUACAUGAAAUGCACCCGCGGCUCGCGACAUGUUUAAUUUAUUUAACAUUAUUGGAAAUUAAAGUCGGGUCACAUGAAAUGUACACCCGAAUUUGAAAAUUGUCUAUCGCAACUACGUCACGGGAACCGUACCCGUAGUCGUGAUAAUUCAUUUAAUUAAUGCACCUAAAGCAAACUACGAUAUUCAUAAUUGUGUUCCUAAGUUUCGAAUAAACAAACAAAUCAUCUUAAACGUAAAUCCCAUUAAUUUUAACAUCCACGACCUACUUCUGCUUAAAAGAGUUCAAAUAAAAUUUGUCUCAAAUACAAAAUCUAAAUCCUUAUGACAUACGCCCAAUCUAAUUAAAAAACUUGUACUUCUCAAGUGUAAAAUUAAAUUAAGUAAGCUAAAUUCCUAUCCCUCAUUAACAAACUUACGAAUCACUACCAAAACAGAGAAUAAUGAACGCAAAUGAAUAAGGAUCAGAUAGCAAACCAAAUUUAAGUCCAUUUUGACAUUGAAUAACAGGGGAUAAAGAAUCAGACAACCAAGCAACCAGAGUGGGAUAGAAGAAAUGCACCUUAGAUAUAUUUUUUUCCAGAUGAAAUCUAAAAACGCUUAACGACACUCGGCGGAAUCGCGACAAAAUUCAAAAAUGGACCUCAAAUCGGCACCUUCGAUUUGCAAACGGACAGCUCGAAACCCAAAAUCGAACUUGGAUGAACAUGCUUCGAAUCUUUUCAUAUAUUGGACUGUUCUUGUCCCUUCUCAUGUUCCUUCACUAUUUUCGCCCCAUCCCUUCCUUCUCUGUCUCUUCUCUUUUUUUGGUUCUAUGUAUGUGUGUUGUGGUUGUUUUCUGGUGGAAAUGGCUAGGGGAAACGAAAGAGAGGAGUGUACAAGGGUGGUCAUUUUUGGCGUAAGGGACGGCUGAAGCUGCUCGAUAAAGGGAGGAGUUCUUCUGUUGUUGCUAUUGUUCAAGAAGAAACCAUGGAAGUUGGGGUCUCUAUGUGUGUCCCUGAAGAAGCUGAAGAACGGGGGCCUCCUCUGUGUAUUGCAGUUGGUGCUCAGGGUAUAUGGUCAGCUACUGAUUGGUGUAUUCAGAGGUGUGGGGGUGUAGCUGAAGGAUGGUCGUUUGUGGGCUGUGAGGAUGAAGAAGAAGACCGGCGUUGAUUGGGGGGAGGAAGGUCUUGUACGAUGGCUGUCUAGGUCCCUAGGGUUUGUGUUCUCUCAAGGUUGAAGAAGAAGGCCCUUAGGGUUGGUUGGUUGUCCUCAAAUCAGAAGAAGCGGCUGUUACUAAAUUGUCUAGGUCUAUUUUUU